rnacentral:misc_RNA from 1 species
UAAAGAAGAAGAAGAAGAAGGGGAGAAGGAAAGGAUCAGACCUGCGAUUAAUGGCAGUAAUAGCAUCCAGUAGUCGACAGUCAGUGCAGGUGAGGAUUUGCAUCUCCCUUUCUCUUCUCUGCAAUCUCUAUCUCCCUUUCUCUGUUCUGCUCUGCCUCUCUCUUGUCUCGUUGGCUUUUCUCAUUCUCCCCCAUCAUUCUUAUCUGCUUCUUCCAGUUCCCUACUACAAUCAAAAUGGGUUUUAUUAUGUCUAUUGUUUGAUUGGUUUAUAUAUUGGAAUUGGUUGGAGUUUUGAAUUUGAUUUGGUUUGAUUAGAUGAUUGGUUUAUGAAUUAUAUGAAUAGAAAUUAUGAAUCUGAUUUGGUUUGCUUAGAAUUAAUGAUUUUUUUUCUUAUCAUUUAAUUCAUUAUUUUACUUUUUUAAUUUCUCUCUAAAACAAAUUUAUUUAAAACUUCCAUGAAUUCAUCACAAUUUUGUCACAUUUAAUAUCAAAU